GAUAUCCUCGAGGUCAAUAAGUGAAAAUCUAUUUGUAUGACAUGUGACGUUUUCAAGGGGUUUCUUAUCUUGGGUUUGGUUGGGUUUUAGCUUAAGGCCCACAUAAGGGAUUUGAACCCAACGACACCAAUUUGUACGGCAGAUAGACGUGAUUUCCCUGAAUUCAGUGCCGUGUUUUGGACCUGUUGGCCUUGUCCUCUCGAUGUCAAUCAUGGGUCUUCAAUUGUCUUUGCUGGAGGUGUUGUGGGUUCCAAAAGUUUACUGUAGCAUUUUCUCUCUUUCGUUGUCUUUUUCCUUCUAUUUGCAUUUUUUCCCUCUUUUAUCUAUGCUUUUAUGUGUUCCUGUGUUUACCUCUCAAUUUCGCCAUUUGGGUUCUACACCGUUUGUCUUCUUUGAGUUGUUUUAGAUUUCCUAUAUUUUCUUUGUUUAUGACCUUGCUUUGUUAUUAGUUAUAGGUUUUAUUUCUUUUUUAAUUUCUCUAUUUGUUCUUGCGAAAAUUUACCAUAUUUAUUCUUUGCUAUGUACCUAUUUGUUUUAUCAUGUUCUUGAGGUUGUUGUUUUUAUUAAUUUUUUUUGUUAUUGUUUAUGAAUUUAAUUUCUACUUUGACUUUUUCCAUUCUUUUGUGGGGAAAUUGAAUUACUCACAAGUUCCAAAAAUUUACAUAAACCUGUUUUAGGUUAGGUUUGUGCUAUCUGUAAUUCCUAUGCUUUUUACGUACAAAUUUUGGACUUGAAUUUAUUGCUUGACUUACAAGAAAAUGCUAACUUUUUUAUAAACUUCAAACUUCUCUGUCUAUUUGUUGAUGUGAAAAUAUUAUCCUCCAGGGAAAAAUAAAUAUACGAUUGUUCAUAAAAGUUGCUUAUACAUGUACUGAUUGUCCUAUGCUUGUUUCUUUUCCUUAGUACUUAUCCUAAAUUAUUUGUUUGUUUCUAUGAUUCAUGGGUUUCUAUAUUCAUUUGUUUGUCAUUUUUUGUUUCGCAGAGGAUUCUGCUUCAGUUUGUUUGUCAGCACUUAUAACAAUUGUAAAUCAUUUGCUUCAUAGUUUUUCUACGUUAUGUAUCUUGAAUGAGGAGAUUGUUGUUUACAUGUUUUAGGGAUAUUUAGAUUAAACUAUAUAGUUGCUAUAACUUAUUUCUUAGUUCCCUUGCUUGAAAUUAUAAUUUUGAUUGAGGCUGUUAUCACCUUUCAAUACUACAUUGUUUUAAUAUUUUGCUCAAUUCACUUCCAUUGGAAAACCACGAGAUGUUUUUUUUUUUUUUUUUUUGCUCUGUGAAAAACCGUGAGAUAUUAACAUAAACCAACAAAAAUCUACAUCAGUUGUGUUGUAUCUCAAGGUGAUAGCAUUGUUUUUUGGGCUUUAACUACUUGAGGAAAAUUAAAUAACUCAUGGGGUUGUUAUUUACUUUUUUCGGUGCAUCCAUGGAUAAUUACUCUCUUCAAAUUUCUACGCAUAAUUAGUGACAUAAUGGGGAUUUCACAAAUGCGUUAAUUUAUUUAUUUUAUUUACCUUGAGACAAUGUAUGUUCACCAUGUAUUAUGAUGCAAAUGCUUAUAAAGGUGUCAAUAAUUAUUUAUUAGCUAUUUUACAUAAUAUGAUUUGUAAACUUUUAAUCUGAUAUGACACUAUAUUAUGGUGCAUCGAGAGGAUUCUUCUUUUUGAUACAUUAUUUUUUCCUUCUAUUAUGGAAUUAAACAAGUUACAUUCAAACCAUCAGUUUAUGGAUACUUUUUCAAGUUUAAGAGCCUGAUAGUUAGCCCGAUGGAACUAAUGUAAAAGUUUAGUUGUUGUUUAGUUGUGUAAUAUAGUAUUUGUAAUUGUUUGUUGCAGUGGACUUUUCAUCCUUUUGUUUUCUAGAACAAAAGAAUAUACAUUGUUCUUAUGAAGUGUAGGAAUCUUGCUUAUUUAGUUUUAAGCACCAUUCUAUGCUAUUUUUAAUAUUUUGAGGUGCGUACAUCUCUUCUUUAGAAUGAAAAGAACUGAUUUCUAAUAUUAUCCUGCUUUUAUUAGCCUA